GCUCCUAAUGCUCACACUGGAGAUGUGAGCCACCUCCUGUCCAGCCUAGCUCGGGAUUAAGAAUCUAAGGAAGUGUGAGAUUGGUGUAGUGUUGGGGGCUCGCUCCUUCACAGACUAAACAGCUAGAAUAGGCAAACAGGAAGGCAAAGAAAACAUGGCUGAGAGGACAAGCACGAGACACUGCGACCCUAGUGACAGCACCAUACACCCUCGAGUCGCCUCUCUAGAGGGAAGGAACGGCAAGAGCAAACUGUGACCGUCUCCCUGCGCGCUUCCCUGUCCUCUCAGACUGCCGGGAAUAACAGAGGCAGAUCUCUCGCUGCUCACAGCUCUGUUUACCUUGGUCAUGCCAACGCCGACCACGAACACCCGGUGCAGGCGCGGAGACUUCAAAGCGACAUAAGGCAUGGCUCCAGCAGCGAACAAGAUCUCCUACAGACUGAGGAUUUGCUGAACCAAAGCGGGUUCAGUGAGAGAGGGAAGGCCUGAAAUGGAAGCUCUGGUCUCAGAGGAAACUCAGAAGCCUGUGGAGAUUCUUUAGAGUGUUAGAAACGUUCUGUAUCUGUGAGAGUAGUUACAACACUCAGUAUAUGAGCCAAAGCACGAUGUACGCUAAUAAAGUCAGAAUUCUACGCGUG